rnacentral:lncRNA from 1 species
AUUUGGUGAAGACGAGAGGUUCCUGAAUAUUGGAGAUAGAAGAUCAGUUUCAGUUCUAGCUUUAGGAAUCAUCAAGCUUGUGUUCGAGUCUUAGUAUAUUGUUCUUAAUGAGUAUCAUUACUGUCCUAAUUUUUUUUUAAAUAUUAUUUUUGUAGGCCUUUUGGCCAAGUCAAAUUAUGAAAUAUCAAUAAAGAAAAACUUUUGUGAUAUCAUUUUGAAUGGUGUUAUAAUUUUACGUGGAC